rnacentral:rRNA from 1 species
UACGUAGGGGGCAAGCGUUGUCCGGAUUUAUUGGGCGUAAAGAGCGUGUAGGCGGCUUGGUAGGUCCGCUGUGAAAACUCGAGGCUCAACCUCGAGAUGUCGGCGGAAACCACUUGGCUAGAGUCCGGAAGAGGAGAGUGGAAUUCCUGGUGUAGCGGUGAAAUGCGCAGAUAUCGGGAGGAACACCAAUGGCGAAGGCAGCUCGCUGGGACGUGACUGACGCUGAGACGCGAAAGCGUGGGUAGCAAACAGG